rnacentral:rRNA from 1 species
AUGAUGAGGUCGUACUAUGAGAAGUACGAGGAAGCUAGAAGAACCACCGAGUACUCGGUAUCUCGGCAAGUCAGCGCCAAUAUAGGAUCACCAGUUCUUGGCAAAAGAAGGCUGGAAGAAGAGUUUGCUCAAUACAAGUCAAGAAGGAGGUCCUACAUGCAACCAAAGUAUGAGCUGGACAUGUAUUUGGAGGAAAAUUUCGACAGCUCCGGGGGAAGUUUUGAUAUUUUGAUAUGGUGGAAAACACAUGCUGAAAAAUAUCCCGUGCUCUCAACCGUGGCUCAUGAUUUCCUUGUAAUACCUCUUAGCACCGUGUCAUCUGAAUCAGCAUUCAAUUGCAGUGGAAGGACUUUAGGAGAUUUCCAAUGCUCGAUGAUGCCCGGAACUCUUGAGGCUUUAGUUUGCGGAAAAGAUUGGCUUAUCAAAAUUCCAAAUAAUGAAGGCCCAAGUGGGACAGCCUAA